rnacentral:misc_RNA from 1 species
GAUGAAGAACGCAGCGAAAUGCGAUAAGUAAUGUGAAUUGCAGAAUUCAGUGAAUCAUCGAAUCUUUGAACGCACAUUGCGCCCGCCAGUAUUCUGGCGGGCAUGCCUGUUCGAGCGUCAUUUCAACCAUCAAGCCCCAGGCUUGUGUUGGGGACCUGCGGCUGCCGCAGGCCCUGAAAACCAGUGGCGGGCUCGCUGUCACACCGGGCGUAGUAGAUUUUAUCUCGCUCAGGGCGUGCUGCGGGUCCCGGCCGUUAAAUGCCUUUUUUUACCCAAGGUUGACCUCGGAUCAGGUAGGAAGACCCGCUGAACUUAAGCAUAUCAAUAAGCGGAGGA